AGAUUUAGAAAUCAUGUGUUGCGUCCUCCAUAUCUCGUUCCAUUGGUCUUCGGAUAGCUCUUGCUGUAAAUCUUUGUGCCAAGCAGUUUGUUUCGGGAGUAUUUUACCAUAUUGGAUGACAUCAACUAUCCUUGUGAUAUUCUUUUCUUUCCAAGUGGGUGUGCCAUCAAAGAUAUACAAGUACCUCUAAGGACGGCUUUGGAUGUAUCCCAUUUCACUAGCUC